AGGGGAAUAUUGCACAAUGGGCGCAAGCCUGAUGCAGCCAUGCCGCGUGUGUGAAGAAGGCCUUCGGGUUGUAAAGCACUUUCAGCGGGGAGGAAGGCGUUAAGGUUAAUAACCUUGGCGAUUGACGUUACCCGCAGAAGAAGCACUGGCUAACUCCGUGCCAGCAGCCGCGGUAAUACGGAGGGUGCAAGCGUUAAUCGGAAUUACUGGGCGUAAAGCGCACGCAGGCGGUUGAUUGAGUCAGAUGUGAAAUCCCCGGGCUUAACCCGGGAAUUGCAUCUGAUACUGGUCAGCUAGAGUCUUGUCGAGGGGGGUAGAAUUCCAUGUGUAGCGGUGAAAUGCGUUGCGAUGUGUAGGACUUCCGGUGGCGAAGGCGGCCCCCUGGACAAAGACUGACGCUCAGGUGCGAAAGCGUGAGGAGCAAACAGG
rnacentral:rRNA from 1 species